UCCAGCCAGGCACAGAGCUUAGCUGAUUGGUGAACAGUGAUUGAUUUCCUCUUUGUUCACAGUGGCUAAGUUCUGCACCUGAG
rnacentral:pre_miRNA from 13 species